rnacentral:misc_RNA from 1 species
UGGAGGACGCCGUGUGUGU